UACAGAGGGGGCAAGCGUUGUUCGGAAUUACUGGGCGUAAAGGGCGCGUAGGCGGCCCGCUAAGUCGAACGUGAAAUCCCCAGGCUUAACCUGGGAACUGCGUCCGAUACUGGCAGGCUUGAAUCCGGGAGAGGGACGUGGAAUUCCAGGUGUAGCGGUGAAAUGCGUAGAUAUCUGGAGGAACACCGGUGGCGAAGGCGGCAUCCUGGACCGGCAUUGACGCUGAGGCGCGAAAGCUAGGGGAGCAAACGGG
rnacentral:rRNA from 1 species